rnacentral:rRNA from 1 species
UACAGGGGGUGCAAACGUUGCUCGGAAUUAUUGGGCGUAAAGCGCGCGUAGGCGGCUACCUAAGUCGGAUGUGAAAGCCCCUGGCUUAACUGGGGAAGUGCACCCGAAACUGGGUAGCUAGAGUGCAAAAGAGGGUCGCGGAAUUCCCGGUGUAGAGGUGAAAUUCGUAGAUAUCAGGAGGAACACCGGUGGCGAAGGCGGCCUGCUGGGCAGUUUAGCUGACACUGAGGCGCGACAGCGUGGGGAGCAAACAGGG